rnacentral:lncRNA from 1 species
GGGACCCCACUGUGUUUUUUACUUGCAUCUCCCUAAUGGCCAAUGCUGUUGAAUACCUUUCAUAAGCUGGUUAUUUUGUGGUUCUUUCAAGGAGACAGAGUCACAGAUCCUGAGCACACUCUUCGGAUUCAUCUGUGCAGAGGGCAACUCAUGAAGUCCAAGCUGCUCCCAAAGUCAAGAAGCACUGGCCAAAGCCUGCUGGGGCUUGAAAGGGUUUUUAUCACUACUUCAUGAGAGCAGAAAAAAUAUAGCUGCCCAUCAGAAACUCAAAGUACCAUAGAUCAAGGCUACAGUUUUGUGUAUCAUAGGGAAGCACGGCCCAGAACACUGAAUACACAGUGCUCAGAACACUGAUACAGCAUCCAACGUAAAGCUACUUUCUGAUAAAGCACUGGCCGUUCCCACUGAACUGGCUGAAUCACGGCCUGAACGUGAAAAGCAGAAGGACCGAUGGAUAGAGAUGUUCACACCAUUGCAGAGCCGAUAAAGCAUUCCGUCUCACCAUGCUGGGUCGAGGAUCAUCUGCACACCUGCCUCAUCUUUCCAGAAGCGAACUGUGGAGCUUUGAAAUCAUUUAUGUGAGAUAUGAGUGGUGAACAGGACUGGUGUGGUCCCCACGUCUCUGAAGUGAGAGACUGAAGGGCACCGUAUCUUACAUGGAUGGACAGCUGUGAAGGUGCUGAGAUGUCCUGAGAAAAGUGGGGCCCUGGGCCCUGAAAAAUAUUGUGUUAGCAUGGUGGGAGUGGGGGCAUGCCAGACUCUUAAGGCCUGCUGUCCUGAGAAACCCAAAAAUUUAAGCCUGGAAGGCAUGGAACUCACACACGAAGCAUAGCACUUGGUUGGUACCUGGUUUUCAGAUGGCCCUCCGCAGGCGCGCGCGCUGUGGUGCCCACAGGGUGCUGAGUCCCCGGCUGGCUGCUCAGACAGGAAGAAGCUCUGAGUUACGGUGCUGCCUUCACACUUCACCUUUCCAGAUGCUGCAUUAGCAUUUUAAUAGGGGCUUUCUGAGCCGCAACCCCAGGAUCACUGUGCCCCAGGCUGCAGCUGAGCAGGUGCUGCCAGCCUGGAGAUCCCCAGCUAGAGUCCCUGCAGAGAGGCCUCCUGCAGCCUCUGGACAGAAGGGGGUGUGGAAAGGAGGAGGACUGCCUCCUAGGAAUGGGAGGGAGACAGAGGGCAGCAGGAAAAUAGAAACAGGUUAAUUCGCUCUCUGUUCUGGAUGAAUAACCAUGUCUGC